ACCACACAGUUCAGGACGUGUUUCACACAAUGGCUGACGCUUUUGGAGGGAAAUAGUGCAAUAGUUUUGCGACGUGGCCGCGUGGCGUCGUUCCCGCCAUUUGGACCACCAUGUUGGCCAGUUUGAGGUUAUGUACGGUCAAAAUUUCAAGUUCUGCGUAAGUUCCCCCGGAAACGAUCGCGGAAGGUAAAACGUGUGAGUCACGUGUUUUGAAGGUUUUCAAAACAUUAUUUUUUCGUUUCUGAUUUGGACAACGAAAAAAAUAAAGUUUCUAACCUCAAAAAACGUCCAGAGAUUACGCGGGAGCUGUGAAAGAACUGUGUCAAACAUGUUUUUUUACCUUCCACGCAACUCGAAUCACCUGUUCGUAGCGAUUCCAGCGACGUCCCAGAAGGAGAGACCACGGACCGAAGAGGAGCGCGUCGUGAGCAGGUCUAGCCCGGAGUAGAAGCAGACGACGCCAGGACAGGGUGCGAGCGAGCCCACGCACGCUGGAGGGCGGGGCAAUGACGUCACAGACCAGCUGACUGGAGGAGUUUAUGCCUGACUAAAUACUCAUAAUGUCCUCGCCCCUAGAUCGCCUCGAACUAAAAUCCUCGUAGUUACCGAGAAAUAAAAUAUGGGCAGUGAACAUGUUCUCAAGUUGAAAAAUUCAACAAUGGUAAAACAAUUGCAGGUUCCUAGAGAAGCCAAGUGGGGUGUGAGAGACGCAAGCCGCUAGACGAGCCAAGAUUAAACAGUUUAUAUGGCUUUGCACAAAUAAAGUUAUAUAUUUUAAA